CUCUGCAUUUCAACGAAUUUAAUCAACGUCUGCCAGCCAAUCAGAAUCGAGUAUUCAGACAGACCAUGGCUGUACCAUAACGUUAUUUGUCUGUAGCCUACCAGUCGUGUUUUUGACAAAUGCAUUGGCAGAAAAAAUAAAUAAAACUAGUCAUUAUAACAUGUACAAAAUUAACAGCUUUUAUUUGCAACAUGAAGUGUAUUUAUUUCUGAUUUCCUGAACAAUUUGGCUUCAUUGUAAUAAGGUUAAUGAUCUUUGAAAAACCAUGAUUAUGAACAUACAGUUAUUUUGUCUUGAGCUGAUCACCCAAAUGUGGUAGUGUUGGUUGAUUGGUGUUUAUAUUUGUUUAAGCUUGACAACCUUAUCGACUUUAUUUUCUAAUAUAUAUUUCUCAUUACAGAUAAGAACAAAGAUUAAACUGUAAGAAGAGCUGCUUGUAAGAGCAUACAGUACAUCUGAAACUGCUGAGGCUGGGAAGGUUUUUGACUAUAUUUCCGACCAGAUCAGCUGCUAUAGAAGACAAACUGAAAUCUGAGUGCAGAGACAAGCAAAGGAAUACUGCAAGGCACUUGUGCAAAAUAUUGUAUGCCAGGACGACUAGGCUGUGCCCAGGUCUCCGGAACCUGCGACGACGCUCAGCUCCAUCGGCCCUCCAUCUACAUCUUGGCUCCUCCCUCCCUCGACUCCGCCGUGUAUUGUCAGCACUGGGAUGCUCUGGGUCUGUGCCAUGUGCCAAACUCCAUCUAAGCCGCCAGGGCAUCAUCGUCAUCCUCCCAUCACCAUCCCUUCACCACAUCCUGCCAUCAUCCCGCACCUUUGCCUCUCACCAUUCCUACACCAUCUCCUCGUCCAGCUCCAAAACCCCCUCCAUCUCUCCCUAUUCUGUUGCUUGAACUUUAUCAUCUUCAGUCUUUGCACACACACAUCUACUCACUUCUGCACUUAGUUUUUCUGUAAAUUUUUCUGUUUUUUUUUUUCUUUAGAAAAUUGCAUUGUAAUUUUUAUUUAUUCAUUGAUGUAAAAUUCUUAAC